UGCCCAGCAACUCCUAUCCCUACCUCCUCGUUGUACUGGCCGGGGUACGAGUAACCUUGGGGAAGAUCGGGUAACCAACCCCCGGUGGGAACUUUGGUCGUAUGCUGACAGGGAAGG
rnacentral:ribozyme from 1 species